rnacentral:rRNA from 1 species
ACGUACUGUGCGAACGUUAUUCGGAAUCACUGGGCUUAAAGGGUACGUAGGCGGUUUAUCAAGUCAGGUGUGAAAUGCCUGAGCUCAACUGAGGCACUGCGCUUGAAACUGAUAGGCUAGAGUAUUCCAGGGGUGUGCGGAACUGCCAGUGGAGCGGUGAAAUGCGUUGAGAUUGGCAGGAACACCGGAGGCGAAGGCGGCACACUGGGGGAUUACUGACGCUGAGGUACGAAAGCCAGGGUAGCGAACGGG